rnacentral:rRNA from 1 species
AGCGCAGUGUGGUAGCAAUACCGUGCUGCGCUUAGCGGCGAACGGGUGUGUAAUACAGGGGUAACCACCCCCAAGGAGGAGAAUAACCCACCGAAAGGUGGGCUAAUACUCCAUGUGCUGAAUAGGAGGCAUCUCCUGUUCAGGAAAGGUGCCGCAAGGUGCCGCCUUGGGACGGGCUCCUGGCCUAUCAGCUUGAUGGCGGGGUAACGGCCCACCAUGGCUGAGACGGGUAGCUGGCGUGAGAGCGUGACCAGCCACAGGGGAACUGAGACACGGUCCCCACUCCUACGGGAGGCAGCAGUCUAGAAAUUUGGGCAAUGGGCGAAAGCCUGACCCAGCGACACCGCGUGGAGGAUGAAGUCCUUCGGGAUGUAAACUCCUGUCAGGGGGAACGAAGCCCGCCUUUGGCGGGUGACGGUACUCCCAGAGGAAGCCCCGGCUAACUACGUGCCAGCAGCCGCGGUAAUACGUAGGGGGCGAGCGCUGCCCGGAUUCACUGGGCGUAAAGGGUGUGUAGGCGGACCGGCGGGUCGAUGGUGAAAGCCCCCGGCUCAACCGGGGAACUGCCGUCGAAACUACCGGUCUUGAGGGCAGGAGAGGGAGCUGGAACUUCCGGUGUAGCGGUAAAAUGCGUGGAUAUCGGAAGGAACGCCGAUGGCGAAGGCAGGCUCCUGGAAUGUUCCUGACGCUGAAACACGAAAGCUAGGGGAGCAAACAGGAUUAGAUACCCUGGUAGUCCUAGCCGUAAACGAUGCACACUGGGCGUGGGGCGCUUUGCCCUGUGCCGUAGCUAACGCGUUAAGUGUGCCGCCUGG